CGAUUUAGAGGUGGCUGACAUACAUGCAGUCGAACGAUGAUGCCCAGCUUGCUGGGCGGAUUAGUGGCGAACGGGUGAGUAAUACGUGAGUAACCUGCCCUUGACUCUGGGAUAAGCCUGGGAAACUGGGUCUAAUACUGGAUACUACCUCUUACCGCAUGGUGGGUGGUGGAAAGGGUUUUACUGGUUUUGGAUGGGCUCACGGCCUAUCAGCUUGUUGGUGGGGUAAUGGCUCACCAAGGCGACGACGGGUAGCCGGCCUGAGAGGGUGACCGGCCACACUGGGACUGAGACACGGCCCAGACUCCUACGGGAGGCAGCAGUGGGGAAUAUUGCACAAUGGGCGGAAGCCUGAUGCAGCGACGCCGCGUGAGGGAUGACGGCCUUCGGGUUGUAAACCUCUUUCAGUAGGGAAGAAGCGAGAGUGACGGUACCUGCAGAAGAAGCGCCGGCUAACUACGUGCCAGCAGCCGCGGUAAUACGUAGGGCGCAAGCGUUGUCCGGAAUUAUUGGGCGUAAAGAGCUCGUAGGCGGUUUGUCGCGUCUGCUGUGAAAGCCCGGGGCUCAACCCCGGGUCUGCAGUGGGUACGGGCAGACUAGAGUGCAGUAGGGGAGACUGGAAUUCCUGGUGUAGCGGUGAAAUGCGCAGAUAUCAGGAGGAACACCGAUGGCGAAGGCAGGUCUCUGGGCUGUUACUGACGCUGAGGAGCGAAAGCAUGGGGAGCGAACAGGAUUAGAUACCCUGGUAGUCCAUGCCGUAAACGUUGGGCACUAGGUGUGGGGGACAUUCCACGUUUUCCGCGCCGUAGCUAACGCAUUAAGUGCCCCGCCUGGGGAGUACGGCCGCAAGGCUAAAACUCAAAGGAAUUGACGGGGGCCCGCACAAGCGGCGGAGCAUGCGGAUUAAUUCGAUGCAACGCGAAGAACCUUACCAAGGCUUGACAUUCACCGGACCGCCCCAGAGAUGGGGUUUCCCUUCGGGGCUGGUGGACAGGUGGUGCAUGGUUGUCGUCAGCUCGUGUCGUGAGAUGUUGGGUUAAGUCCCGCAACGAGCGCAACCCUCGUUCUAUGUUGCCAGCACGUGAUGGUGGGGACUCAUAGGAGACUGCCGGGGUCAACUCGGAGGAAGGUGGGGAUGACGUCAAAUCAUCAUGCCCCUUAUGUCUUGGGCUUCACGCAUGCUACAAUGGCCGGUACAAAGGGUUGCGAUACUGUGAGGUGGAGCUAAUCCCAAAAAGCCGGUCUCAGUUCGGAUUGAGGUCUGCAACUCGACCUCAUGAAGUCGGAGUCGCUAGUAAUCGCAGAUCAGCAACGCUGCGGUGAAUACGUUCCCGGGCCUUGUACACACCGCCCGUCAAGUCACGAAAGUUGGUAACACCCGAAGCCGGUGGUCACUAACCUCGCUUGUGGGAGGGAGCACGUAUAUACGGAUGACUCCUUCCGCG
rnacentral:rRNA from 1 species